rnacentral:rRNA from 1 species
GAUGAACGCUAGCGGCAGGCUUAACACAUGCAAGUCGAGGGGCAGCGUGAAGGUUAGCAAUAACCUUUGACGGCGACCGGCGCAAGGGUGCGUAACGCGUGAGCAACUUGCCCUUAUCAGGGGGAUAACCGGUGGAAACGCCGACUAAUACCCCAUGGCAUCACAUCAAGGCAUCUUUUUGUGAUUAAAGAAAUUCGGAUAAGGAUAGGCUCGCGUGACAUUAGCUAGACGGCGGGGUAACGGGCCCACCGUGGCGACGAUGUCUAGGGGUUCUGAGAGGAAGGUCCCCACACUGGAACUGAGACACGGUCCAGACUCCUACGGGAGGCAGCAGUGGGGGGAU